rnacentral:rRNA from 1 species
ACGCUCGACACCUACGGAAGGCAGCAGUGGGGAAUAUUGCACAAUGGGGGAAACCCUGAUGCAGCGACGCCGCGUGGAGGAAGAAGGUCUUCGGAUUGUAAACUCCUGUUGUUGGGGAAAAAGAGGAUGGUACCCAACAAGGAAGUGACGGCUAACUACGUGCCAGCACGCCGACGUAUCUGNGGCGGCGUGGACGAAGGC